UUUAGAUAUAAAAAUGUAAAAAAUUGUUAGUGUGUCUAUUAGUGAGUGUUAGUGUGUGGCUGUUAGUAAGUGUUACUGUUUGUGUGUGUUAGUGAGUGGGUCUGUUAGUGAGUGUGUUAGUGUGUUUUGUUAGUCAGUGUGUUAGUAAGUGUGUGUCUGUUAGUGAGUGUUUGUGUUUGUUAGUCAGUGUGUUAGUGUGUUUUGUUAGUGGGUGUGUUAGUGUGUCUCUUAGUGAGUGUGUUAAUGUGUGUCUGUUAGGGAGUGUGUAUGUCUGUUAGUGAGUGUGUUAGUGUGUGUCUUAGUAAGAGUGUUAAUGUGUCUGUUAGUGAGUGUGUUAGUGUGUUACUGAGUGUCUGUUAGUGAGUGUGUGUGUGUGUGUGUUAGUGAGUGUGUGUCUGUCUCUGAAAGUGUAUAUGUGUUUGUCAGUGUGUGUGUAUCUGUCAAUGAGAGUGUAUGCGUGCGUCAGUGUGUGUUUUAGCGUGUGUAUCCAUAUCUGUCAGUGUGUGUAUGCCUGUCUGUCACUGACAGUAUGUGUAUGUCUGUUAGUGUCUGUCAGGUAGUGUAUGUGUGUCUAUCAGUCAAUGUGUGUGUCUGACACUGACUAUAUAUGUCUAUCAGUAAGUGUUGUAUAUGUGUGUUUGUCAGUGUGUAUUUGUCAGUGAGUAUAUGUGUGUCCCAGUAUCUGUCAAUGAGAGUGUGUGUCUGUCAGUGAGUGUGCAUGUGUGUGUAACUGUGAAUGAGUGAGUGUGUAUGUCUGUGAAUGUGUAUAUUGUAGUAAGUGUGUGUUGGUUAAACAGUGUGUCUUAUUCUGACUUUACUAAUGCAAAUACACAGAUUUUUAAAAAUAAAUAUGUAUAUUAAUAUUAGAAUGUUAUUGCUUAAGUUAUUGAUUAACUAUAACUGACUCUCUGAUUAUUAGUACGUUAUUUAGAUUUGGGGUAGGGAUGCGAAAGGGGUGUUUUGCGUUUGUCCUGGUAAACCCAGGUCAAAUUAUACUCUCCGUCACUCGUUUAGAUCAAUAUCUGCAUGUCUAUAUUAAAUGAUAUUUAGCUCAUUAUCUGUUUGGAGCUAAAGUUCAUGAGAAAUAAUUGCUGAUUUAUUCCUCUUUUGUUAGGUUUGUCGUCAUUUGUUAAGUAAAGCUUAGUUGGUAAUUAAAAGAAUAAAUAAAGAUAAGUUUUGUCAUAUUUUAGUUAAG